rnacentral:rRNA from 1 species
CAGUCGCCGCGGGAACACGAAGGGGGCUAGCGUUGUUCGGAUUUACUGGGCGUAAAGCGCACGUAGGCGGACUUUUAAGUCAGGGGUGAAAUCCCGGGGCUCAACCCCAGAACUGCCUUUGAUACUGGAAGUCUUGAGUAUGGUAGAGGUGAGUGGAAUUCCGAGUGUAGAGGUGAAAUUCGUAGAUAUUCGGAGGAACACCAGUGGCGAAGGCGGCUCACUGGACCAUUACUGACACUGAGAGACGAAAGCUAGGGGAGCAAAUGGGAUUAGAUACCCCGGUAGUCCCUGUCUCUUAUAC